rnacentral:rRNA from 1 species
GACGAACGCUGGCGGCGUGCUUAACACAUGCAAGUCGAGCGGUAAGGCCCUUUCGGGGGUACACGAGCGGCGAACGGGUGAGUAACACGUGGGUGACCUGCCCUCAGCUCUGGGAUAAGCCUGGGAAACCGGGUCUAAUACUGGAUAUGACUCCAUGACGCAUGUUGUGGGGUGGAAAGCCUUGUGCGGCUGAGGAUGGGCCCGCGGCCUAUCAGCUUGUUGGUGGGGUGANGGCCUACCAAGGCGACGACGGGUAGCCGGCCUGAGAGAGCGACCGGCCACACUGGGACUGAGACACGGCCCAGACUCCUACGGGAGGCAGCAGUGGGGAAUCUUGCGCAAUGGGCGAAAGCCUGACGCAGCGACGCCGCGUGAGGGAUGACGGCCUC